UACAGAGGUCUCAAGCGUUGUUCGGAUUCAUUGGGCGUAAAGGGUGCGUAGGUGGCGCGCUAAGUCAGGUGAAAUCUUGGGGCUUAACUCCGAAACUGCAUUUGAUACUGGCGUGCUUGAGGACUGGAGAGGAGACUGGAAUUCACGGUGUAGCAGUGAAAUGCGUAGAGAUCGUGAGGAAGACCAGUGGCGAAGGCGGGUCUCUGGACAGUUCCUGACACUGAGGCACGAAGGCCAGGGGAGCAAACGGG
rnacentral:rRNA from 1 species